ensembl:lncRNA
UUUUGCUGGAGGUCCCUGCAUACUUGAGGUCUUUUGAAGUUCUAAUUACCUGAAUUAUACCACCAACUUCCUGGGAACUCAAGCAUGGCCCAUCUGAAGAAAACCUCAGAGAACACCAACAGUUAAAUGUUGCUCUGAAAGUUGUCUUAUUUAUUCCCAUGGAGAUGACGACAAAUUCAAAGAGUGGAAUAGCACUAUAUGAUAGAGCAAAUUCUGAGCUACAAAACACUGUUUUUCAACAUAAUCGCCACCAUUAGCUGUGCAUUUUCACCAGUAAUGAGUGAGAAACUGUAUGCUAUCCUUGUAAAAAUAAUAAUAAAAAUGAAAAUCUGUACCAGCAGUGGUGACCUGCUGUUGCCACUGCUGAAACAAGCUACUCACUGCCUCAUUGUGCUAACAUCCUCUGUUAUGUCACCAUGAACAUUCAGCAAGCAUCGGUGAAUGUCAGUGGGUACCAUUUCUUUCCAUAUAUAGGAAUUCACUGACACACCUUUGCUUCAUACACACUUCCAUGUCAGAUGCCAUUCUGUCAGACUGCCCUUCUGCUGCCAUCUGUUGCAUGGCAACAAAACUUAACUGAGUAUUGGUGGGAAGGUUCAACCUCAGCUGCCAUACCACCAAUAUCUGCCUUUGACAUCACUGGCCAGCAUAAUAAAGGAGGCAUUAUGUUCAGAUUAGCCCUUAUAUGUUAAGUAUAUAUAUAAUGGUUGAUGCCUCAGUUAAUGUUUCAUGUAACUCAUUUUUAAGCAAUUUUUUCUUUAUUUUGAUUGAAUUUCUGAAAGCCUUAUAAAUAGUGAUAUUAGUAGAAAGUUCUGAGAGCUUAUUUCAUGUAAGAUUAAUAACACAUUGCAUGCUAAACUGCCCUACUGCUCAUAAUCUAGUUUAUCCUGAUUAAAUGUAGAGGUAAGAGUUCUCUUAAAGUUCUGUCUUUCUGAAUUACAAACAGCUUAGCUGUUUUUUACCUUCUCAUUUGUAGGAAGCUCAGAUGUGGCUUAGUAAACAAUGGCAAUAUUAUCUGUAAUCAGACACCUGUCCAUCCCAUUACAACUGUCACUUGUCCCAAUUUUUUUUUCCUUAUAUGGAAAAUGUUGGCACUGCAAUGCAACGAGAAGGUAAAAAGCCAUGUGCUAAUCCUUUUAUUAACCUGUUAGUAGGUAUGCCAGCCAGUUGAUCAAAUACCCUGCUUUGGGAAUCUUCACAAAUGCAGGGCCAUGGAGGAAGAUAUGCAAGUAAUAUUCUGAAAUGAAGAUAGUUUGGUUUCAUGCUUUAGAGGUUGUUAAAGUUGUUAUAGUCACCAUCUAUACAAAUACAUCAUCAUCUGUAUUAGACUCUUCAAAAUUUAAUAUUUAAGUAUCUGCCUGGGGAGAAUACAGUAUGUGAUUUUUUUUUUUAACCCAGCCACUUUCACUGUUGGUAGCAGAGUUUUUUUUAUAUACAAAUCCUGCAGUCUGUAUAUUUCUGCAACAUUUUAUUUCUAGUGCUUCUGUAGACUAAAACCUAUGAGUUUCAGCACUAUUGUUCCUAAGUUAGUUGAGGGGCUGUAUACUAUAUGAUUAGUUUUAAUAAAAAUGAUAUUUAAUG